GAUGAACGCUGGCGGCGUGCUUAACACAUGCAAGUCGAACGGAAAGGCCCUGCUUUUGUGGGGUGCUCGAGUGGCGAACGGGUGAGUAACACGUGAGUAACCUGCCCUUGACUUUGGGAUAACUUCAGGAAACUGGGGCUAAUACCGGAUAGGAGCUCCUGCUGCAUGGUGGGGGUUGGAAAGUUUCGGCGGUUGGGGAUGGACUCGCGGCUUAUCAGCUUGUUGGUGGGGUAGGGGCUUACCAAGGCUUUGACGGGUAGCCGGCCUGAGAGGGUGACCGGCCACCUGGGGCCUGAGGUACGGCCCAGACUCCUACGGGAGGCAGCAGUGGGGAAUAUUGCACAAUGGGCGGAAGCCUGAUGCAGCAACGCCGCGUGCGGGAUGACGGCCUUCGGGUUGUAAACCGCUUUCGCCUGUGACGAAGCGUGAGUGACGGUAAUGGGUAAAGAAGCACCGGCUAACUACGUG
rnacentral:rRNA from 1 species